rnacentral:rRNA from 1 species
GACAGAGGGGGCAAGCGUUGCUCGGAAUUACUGGGCGUAAAGGGCGUGCAGGCGGUUUGUUAAGUGCAGAGUGAAAGCUCCCGGCUCAACUGGGAGAGGUCUUUGCAUACUGGCAAACUCGAGGGAGGCAGAGGAAAGUGGAAUUCCCGGUGUAGUGGUGAUAUGCGUAGAUAUCGGGAGGAACACCUGUGGCGAAGGCGGCUUUCUGGGCCUUACCUGACGCUGAGACGCGAAAGCGUGGGGAGCGAACCGG